rnacentral:rRNA from 1 species
UUGCGGUUUCCGCAACAUUGGAUAACUUGGCGAAACGCCAAGCUAAUACAUGAACCAACGGGACGCUCUCUGUUCCGGCGGUGGGGCAACUCACCGCCAUGGGACGUCCAGCGAAUGAAUGAAAGUAAAAUCAAUGCCUUAACCGGCAGUAACACCCAGAAGUGUUGACUCAAUUCAUUCCGUGCGAAAGCCGGGUUUUACCCGGCGUCUUUUGACGAACAACUGCCCUAUCAGCCAGUGAUGGCCGUGUAGUGGACUGCCAUGGCGUUGACGGGAGCGGGGGAUUAGGGUUCGAUUCCGGAGAGGGAGCCUGAGAAAUAGCUACCACUUCUACGGAGGGCAGCAGGCGCGCAAAUUGCCCAAUGUCAAAAAAAACGAUGAGGCAGCGAAAAGAAAUAGAGCCGAAGGUGCCUAGUGCAUUGUCGUAUUCAAUGGGGGAUAUUUAAACCCAUCCAAAAUCGAGUAACAAUUGGAGGACAAGUCUGGUGCCAGCACCCGCGGUAAUUCCAGCUCCAAAAGCGUAUAUUAAUGCUGUUGCUGUUAAAGGGUUCGUAGUUGAAUUGAGGGCCUUUGAGGCGCAAUGGUUUGUCCCGUCCACUUCGGAUUGGUGACCCAUGCCCUUGAGGUCCGUGAACACUCAGAAACAAGAAACACGGGAGUGGUACCUUUCCUGAUUUUCGCAUGUCAUGCAUGCCAGGGGGCGCCCGUGAUUUUUACUGUGACUAAAAAAGUG